CCUACGGGUGGCAGCAGUGGGGAAUAUUGGGCAAUGGAGGAAACUCUGACCCAGCAAUGCCGCGUGAAUGAUGAAGGUUUUCGGAUUGUAAACCUCUUUUGUUAGAGAAGAUAAUGAAGGUAUCUAACGAAUAAGCACCGGCUAACUCCGUUACAGCAGCCGCGGUAAUACGGAGGCAGCAAGCGUUACUCGGAAUCACUGGGCGUAAAGAGCGCGUAGGCGGGAUAGAAAGUCAGAUGUGAAAUCCUAUGGCUUAACCAUAGAACUGCAUUUGAAACUGUUAUUCUAGAGUACGGGAGAGGUAGGUGGAAUUCGUGGUGUAGGGGUAAAAUCCGUAGAGAUCAAGAAGAAUACUCAUUGCGAAGGCGGCUUACUGGACUGUAACUGACGUUGAGGCUCGAAAGCGUGGGGAGCAAACAGGAUUAGAUACCCCUGUAGUC
rnacentral:rRNA from 1 species